UACGAAGGGUGCAAGCGUUAUUCGGAAUUACUGGGCGUAAAGCGUGCGUAGGCGGUUUGUUAAGUCCGUUGUGAAAGCCCUGGGCUCAACCUGGGAAUUGCAGUGGAUACUGGCGAGCUAGAGUGCGGUAGAGGAUGGUGGAAUUCCCGGUGUAGCGGUGAAAUGCGUAGAGAUCGGGAGGAACACCCGUGGCGAAGGCGGCCAUCUGGACCAGCACUGACGCUGAGGCACGAAAGCGUGGGGAGCAAACAGG
rnacentral:rRNA from 1 species